rnacentral:rRNA from 1 species
GGCUAUUUUAGGUCAGUCUGCCACUGAAUUUAAUUUUAAUGGCCGCAGUAUUUUGACUGUGCAAACGUAGCAUAAUCAUUAGUUUUUUAAUUAAAAGCUUGUAUGAAAGGCUGGACGAGGUAAAAUCUGUCUCUAUUUAAAUUAUAGUAGAAUUUAUCUUUUAAGUUAAAAGACUUAAAUAUUAUUAAAAGACGAGAAGACCCUAUAGAUCUUUAUAAUUUGUUAAAUGAAAUUGAUUUAGAAAUUUUUAUGUUUUAUUUAAUUAGAUUAUUUUAUUGGGGUAAUAAAAAGAUUGAAUUAAUUCUUUUUUAUAAUUAACAUUGAUAUAUGAAUAUUAAUGAUCCAGUUUUACUGAUUAUAAGAUUAAGUUACCUUAGGGAUAACAGCGUAAUUUUUUUAGAGAGUUCAUAUCGAUAAAAAAGUUUGCGACCUCGAUGUUGGAUUAAAGAUUAUUUUAGGUGCAGAAGCUUAAUAAUUUUGGUCUGUUCGACCAUUAAAUCUUUACGUGAUCUGAGUUCAGACCGGA